CUCAAGCAGCCUGGGAAGGGGCCCACAUGGGAGAGCCCAGUGUGGAGGAGCUGAGGCCUUCCACCAGCAUCCAGCACCACAUUGCUGGCUGUGUGAGGAAGCCACCUUAGAAGCAGAUUUUCCAACCCCAACUGAGCCUUCAGAUGAUUGCAGUCCUGGCUAACAUCUUGUCUGCAGCCUCACGAGAGACCUUGUGCCUAAGCCAUCCAGCCAACUUGUUCCUGAUUCCUAAUCGAGAUAGACAAAAUGAAAAUUACUUCCAUGACUCACAUGCCCUCUGAGACUGAGCUCUUGCUAACACACCCACCCUGAAUCGAGUCACCCUCUGCUUCGCUUAUUUCUCCAGCAGCGUCCUCCUGCUCUGGGUCCUGGACCACAUAAUCUUGCCUCCUGGUCAC
rnacentral:lncRNA from 10 species